CAAGGGGAGGAGAUGGUCCUCGCCUUCACGGAGUCGCAGCUGCUGUCAGCGACAUUCUGGAAAACCUCCCCGAGCUGUGGCCGCCAGCAACGUACCAGACAUGAUGCUUCCGGAGACCACUCCAUCCCGUCGCUGUCAGCCACGUCCCAAACUUGCAGCUGCCAGAACCAUGUUGAAAGUUCAGACUGAACUAACGGCUGUUGAGAAGCAAGAGACCAAUGGCGGUACAAGAUGGUGAUGCUACCGUGUUGGUCGGCACACACGGCCAGCUCAGCCAUAAACAGCGGCGUCAGCGGGAAGUGCAGCUGCAAGCUGUUGUAGCUGGCAUGGACAAGAAAGAAGACAAGAUUGUUGGUAGCUGUGUGAGUUUAGUGUAUCGCUGCACUACAGCUUCCUAUCAGUUUAGUUAACGCAGCCGAAAGAGUAGCAGGCAGCGGUGUCCUCAGCAACACACUGGUAGUUGAAAUGGUAUCCACCAGUAUGACGACGGCCAUCUCGUAGAUCGCUCCCACCACAUAUCUCCCUCAAACCCCUUUCUCCACUCAAUUUGCUAACAUUGCCGCAGCCGCUUGGUGCUGCUCACCUCACCUCGCCACUCAGCGGCCGACCACCCCACCACACCCACCCAACUCCCUCGCCGUCAGACACCCCCACCGACCCAAUCCCCUCCACCCGCCAUGCCCAAGACGUUGGCGUCAAGAACGUCUGCCUUGUGCUAGUCCUCGCCAUCCGGAGCACAUGGAGCUGGGCGCUCCCAUCACGCCCGCCAUGGUGCCUCCUGUUGACCUGGGCUGCCGACGCCCCUCUGCCUCCCUCCAUGCCCCGACAUACCAGUCGCGGACAACGCCACAAGAGGCAGCUCAGACCGGAGGUAGAGGUGGAGGACCUGCCGUCCAUGUCCUGCCUCUGUGGAGCUCGCUGCAGAUAUGCAACA